GACGAACGCUGGCGGCGUGCCUAACACAUGCAAGUCGAACGGAGUAAAGACUUCGGUUUUUACUUAGUGGCGAACGGGUGAGUAACGCGUGGGAAACCUGCCUUUCAGAUGGGGACAACACCUCGAAAGGGGUGCUAAUACCGAAUGACGUUUCCUGGUCGCAUGACCUGGAAACCAAAGGCCGGGCAACCGGUCACUGAAGGAUGGGCCUGCGUCUGAUUAGCUAGUUGGUGGGGUAACGGCCCACCAAGGCGACGAUCAGUAGCCGGUCUGAGAGGAUGAACGGCCACAUUGGGACUGAGACACGGCCCAAACUCCUACGGGAGGCAGCAGUGGGAAUCUUCCGC
rnacentral:rRNA from 1 species